CGCCUGACGAGCGGGCUUUUCUUUGUGGUGCGGCUGGUGUGUCCCCACCCACUACGAGCUCUUCCCGGGGCUUAGGGACGGAGCGGGGAGGACAGCCAGUAGGGCCCACCUGUGCCUUUGUACGACCUGGGGGAGGGUCAGCUAAGCCCGCUGCCGCCGGUCUCCGGCGCCCUCACGUGGCCCUACGCUCCCCGCGGUGCGAUGGCGGCGCUGGUGACCCCGGCGCAGGUGGUGGUGACCUUUAAGAAUGUGGCUGUGACCAAGAGGAGUGGAGACAACUUGACCUGGACCAGAGGACUCUGUACCAGGAGGUGAUGCUGGAGACUUUGAGCUUCUGGUCUCACUGGAAAUUGUGAAGUGGAUUCUACAAUGAAAAUGCAAGUGCAAAGGACCAAGAAUAGCCAAAACAACCUGGAAACAAGAAAGUGCUAGCGUAAAUACAAAUAGGCACAUCUUUAAAUUUUUUUGGACCCCAAUAUACAGGAUAUAUACCCAGGAGUGGAAUUGGUGGAUCAUAUGGUAAUUCUAUGUUUAGUUUUUUUGAGAAACCACCAUACUAUUUCCCACAGUGGCUGCAACAAUUUACAUUCUUACCAACAGUGUCAAGAGUUCCCUUACCAGGAUGUAUUCUUAAGUGAAAAACUAUGGUCCAGAACAGUGUAUAAAAUAUACCAUGUUUUUUGAGUCAAGUAGAAGAGUAUAACUAUAGGGAUAGAGAUUUAACAGAUUGGAAGGACAGGAAUGAAAGUGAUGAAAUUUUCUUGUGUUGUAGUUUUGAAUUUGUACAAAUUUAAGUAUUUUCCAUAAAGUUUAAACAAACAAUGCUCAAUCAAAAUGGAAUUUUAAAAUCCAUUAACAUCAAAAGUAAAAUGGAAGAAAAACUGAGAGAGAUUGUGUGUUGCCUUGAUGGUAUAUCCAGGAUAAAGAAAGUGGCUUAACCCAGAGGGAUAUCAACUAUACCCCAAUAUAAAAUAGAAACUAAAAAAAAAAAAGAGGGAUAAAACCACACAGCUGAGAACAAGUAUAACUAGAGGAAUCUGAAUAAGAUCAGGUGAUAGUAUAAACGUCAACAUCAUUGUUGUGAUAUAAUAUAGUCUUACUAUUGGGGAAACUGGGUAAAGUACACACAGGAUCUCUCUGAUUCCUUCCCUUCCCUUUCCCUUUGCUUCCCUUUCCUUUCCUUUGUCCUCUCCUUUCUGUGCCACAAGGUGUGCAGGAUCUCAGUUCCCCAACCCGGGAUUGAACCUGGGUCACGGCAGUGAAAGCGCCAAAUCCUAACCACUAGACCACCAGGGAACUCCCUCUCUGCAUUCUUACCCUUGCAUGUGAAUCACUGAUUUUCACAAUAAAUAUUUCAAUUAAAAAAUCCAAGGGAGGGAAUUCCCUGGUGGUCCAGUGGUUGGGGGUGUUCUCCGAGAUCUUAUCGAAUAUUUGUAUGAAGUUGUCAUUUCUGUCUGGAGAGAUCCUCACCAAUUGUGAAGUGUUCCUUCUCUGGGAUGCGGACUUUGUAAGGGAGAAGGAGUGUAGUGUAUCAAUGUCAUUAUUCAGUUUAACUUUAUACACCAGUGGGUUCAUUGAAAAUAUUCAUAGUAAAUAUUAUUUUUAUAAUACUAUUUAAGGUUGAAGUAAAAAAUAUCACCAGUGUGAUGAAAACAGGUUACAAAACUAGAAAAUGAAGCAAAAUAAGGGACAAAGGAAAGAACCAGAAAUCUUGAUAAGAAUCACAAGAUGAAGUUAAAUAACAAAAACAUAUGCCAGGGGCUUCCCUAGUGGCGCAGCGGUUGCGCGUCCGCCUGCCGAUGCAGGGGAACUGGGUUCGCGCCCCGGUCUGGGAGGAUCCCACAUGCCGCGGAGCGGCUGGGCCCGUGAGCCAUGGCCGCUGAGCCUGCGCGUCCGGAGCCUGUCCUCUGCAACGGGAAAGGCCGCAGCAGAGGGAGGCCGGCAUACCACAAAAAAAAAAACAAAAAAAAAAAAAAAAAAACA